rnacentral:rRNA from 1 species
UACGAAGGGGGCUAGCGUUGUUCGGAAUUACUGGGGCGUAAAGCGCACGUAGGCGGAUAUUUAAGUCAGGGGUGAAAUCCCAGAGCUCAACUCUGGAACUGCCUUUGAUACUGGGUAUCUUGAGUAUGGAAGAGGUAAGUGGAAUUCCGAGUGUAGAGGUGAAAUUCGUAGAUAUUCGGAGGAACACCAGUGGCGAAGGCGGCUUACGUGGUCCAUUACCUGACG